GUGCAGCAGGCGAGAAUAGUCUACAAUGGACGAAAGUCUGAUAGUGCGACGCCGUGUGUGCGAUUAAUUCCUUCGGGAUGUAAAGCACUUUUCUAUGAGAUAAAAGCUCUUUAGGUUAAUAGCUUAUUGAGACGGAUAUUAUUAUAGGAAUAAGCUCCGGCUAACUCCGUGCCAGCAGCCGCGGUAAUACGGAAGGAGCGAGCGUUGUCCGGAUUUACUGGGCGUAAAGGGCUAGUAGGCGACUAAUUAAGUUAUAUGUUAAAUCCCACGGCUCAACUGUGGUCCUGCAUGUAAUACUGGUUAGAUAGAGUACUGUAGAGGAAGGCAGAAUUCCUGGAGUAGCGGUGGAAUGCGCAGAUAUCAGGAAGAAUACCAAAAGCGAAGGCAGCCUUCUGGGCAGUUACUGACGCUGAAUAGCGAAGGUGUGGGUAGCGAACAGGAUUA
rnacentral:rRNA from 1 species